GACGAACGCUGGCGGCGUGCUUAACACAUGCAAGUCGAACGGAAAGGCCCUGCUUUUGUGGGGUGCUCGAGUGGCGAACGGGUGAGUAACACGCGAGUAACCUGCCCUUGACUUUGGGAUAACUUCAGGAAACUGGGGCUAAUACCGGAUAGGAGCUCCUGCUGCAUGGUGGGGGUUGGAAAGUUUCGGCGGUUGGGGAUGGACUCGCGGCUUAUCAGCUUGUUGGUGAGGUAGUGGCUUACCAAGGCUUUGAAGGGUAGCCGGCAUGAGAGGGUGACCGGCCACAUUGGGACUGAGAGACGGACCAGACUCCUACGGGAGGCAGCAGUGGGGAAUAUUGCACAAUGGGCGGAAGCCUGAUGCAGCAGCGCCGCGUGCGGGAUGACGGCCUUCGGGUUGUAAACCGCUUUCGCCGGUGACGAAGCGUGAGUGACGGUAAUGGGUAAAGAAGCACCGGCUAACUACGUG
rnacentral:rRNA from 1 species